rnacentral:rRNA from 1 species
CGCCGCGUGAGGGAUGACGGCCUUCGGGUUGUAAACCUCUUUCAGUAGGGAACAAGACAUCAUUUUUGUGGUGUUGAGGGUACUUGCAGAAGAAGCACCGGCUAACUACGUGCCAGCAGCCGCGGUAAUACGUAGGGUGCAAGCGUUAUCCGGAAUUAUUGGGCGUAAAGAGCUCGUAGGCGGUUUGUCGCGUCUGCCGUGAAAGUCCGGGGCUCAACUCCGGAUCUGCGGUGGGUACGGGCAGACUAGAGUGAUGUAGGGGAGACUGGAAUUCCUGGUGUAGCGGUGGAAUGCGCAGAUAUCAGGAGGAACACCGAUGGCGAAGGCAGGUCUCUGGGCAUUAACUGACGCUGAGGAGCGAAAGCAUGGGGAGCGAACAGGAUUAGAUACCCUGGUAGUCCAUGCCGUAAACGUUGGGCACUAGGUGUGGGGGACAUUCCACGUUCUCCGCGCCGUAGCUAACGCAUUAAGUGCCCCGCCUGGGGAGUACGGCCGCAAGGCUAAAACUCAAAGAAAUUGACGGGGGCCCGCACAAGCGGC